rnacentral:lncRNA from 1 species
AUAGCACCAAAAAACAUUCUGUUACAGAUCUUUAUUGCAAUAUGGGCAGAAAGCGAAAUUCCUCAAGAAUGAACCACACAAAUUGUUGUACCUAUACUAAAGCCCAGCAAAGAUCAACAGUGGAUUCAUAUCGUCCAAUUGCAGUAUCAUCGUACUUAGAAAGACUUUUGAACACCUCAAAGUAUGUCACAGAACAGCUUUUGAAAAGAGAGCAGGAGCACUAUUGACUAUUUACCUAUCCUCGGUGGACUGUGAAAAAGCAUUCGAUGAGAAAGGUUGUCUUACAGCUUCAUACUUGGAUAUAUUGGGAACAUACGAUUCUGUUGACAUUUUCUUACUUUUGUAGAUGUUAGACCACCUUGGUGUCCUAUACAUUUGUUUUCAAAUUCUUGAAAAUUAUUUAAAUGGUAGAACUGUUUACAUCAGAAAGCAAGACAAUAGUUUACAUGGACCCUACUCAGUGUGGAAAGGCUUAUCUCAAGGUAAUCCCCUCUUAUGUGCCUUAUUUGUUGCAGAUUUGGAAAACAUUGUGGUCCCUCUAUUCAAGUGCUAAAAUAUGCAGAUUAUGUCUGCAUAUAGACAGCAUCCAUCAGCCUAGAAAUGUGUUGCUCAUGGAUGAAUAAUGCCGCUGAUCUACUGUCUGAAUGGUUGCUCAAUUUGUCACAAUCAAAAUCUUCUGUAGUUUUGUUUGCACAAAAACACUGAACAAACCCAAUGAAUACAAUAAUCCUGGGACCCUUUAGAUUGAUUGUACCAACAUCAGCUAAAGCAUUGGGGCUUUUUGUGGAUAGCAGAUUAACCUGGACAGAACACGUCAAACGUACUGUUACGAAAACAGAAAAAGCUCCGAAUGUCUUACAUGCUGUAAGUCGCCUGUGGUGGGGAGUCCAGCCAGCCAUACUCAUCAUCCUAUACGUGGUCUAAUACACUUUGUAAUUGACUACAGAAGUUUUCUAUUUGGAAAUGUGGUACAAAAUGUACUAGAAAAACUAAAUGCACUUCAGUACCAGGCUAUUAGCCAGUGCCUAAGAGCAAUGAAGUCAUCACCAACUAAUGCUCUUUUAACAGAAGCCAAAGAAAUGCCUUUUGACAUCUGUAGAGUACUACUUGCUAAGAAGCUUCUGCUGCAAAGAUCUGUAGUAAUUAAUCAUCUCGUCACAGUUAAAGCUAAGUGGUUGGCAGAGAGAAGAUACCCAGCUGAACGCAAAUUAACGCCACUGUUAGUAACGGGCUUCCAGUGUCUCAGAUUUACGUUCAAUUUGAUAUGGAAGGAAUGAAUGUUACCAGCAUUUAGUAAAAAAUAUGGAACAACAGCCUGCCAGAUAGCUAAAUAGCUUUUAUGACCACGAUUUAGUAGUAUUUACACUGCAGAAGUCACAGUGAUUAAUGAGAGAAUUAAGUUUCAAAUUGAAAAUGGCAACAAAACACUAAUUCUCACUGACUCUAGAAAUGCUUUGGAGAAAUUAGAGCAUCAAAGGUGGAAAGCUGAUAACAAUUGUAUCUAUGUUCUGGUGGAAUUAAUAACAAAAGCCAGCAAUGAAAAUAAAUCCGUACAUCUAAUGCGGGGAAAGGUCUUCACAGGCAUUUGGCAUAAUGAAAUAGUAGAUGGCCUUGCAAAAGAAAGCAUCAAAGAAUGGGAACCAGUAUUUACCCACUUCCAUGUUCUGACUUUCUCCAUGUUUCAAAACAGAGGCAUACUAUCAAUGGGAACAGUAGUGACAAACGUCACAGCAGAGGAAGGGCUCUUUGUUCGCUUCAGUCCAUAAACCCUGAUACAGUCAGAAUCUCCCAAGCAGGUAUGUAAAAUCAGUUACUAGAGUAAGGUUGGGACAUGCAUGUUUUCCUGCACACGUCUACGAGAUUGGCAUGAUAGGCUCUCCCACAUCCCGUGAACAUCCAGAAGACAAUGGAGAUUGCUUCCUCGUUCGCAUCCGCUACUCCCUGUUCUGCACUCAUUGGUAGCACACUGCACCUCUACAAAUCCACCAUGGCACUCGGGGGCCACAGCGCAGUGUAAGUGUCCUGGCAUUAUUUGUAUAUUUUCCUACCCAGGCAGUCGACCAUAGUACUGUCUGGUGUCACUUUUGCAUUGACAUAGGUUUCACAGCCCUAGCAGUUUCAAAAUGUUUUUCAAAAGUUUUUUAAAAAAUUUUUAAAAUUUUUUUUAUGAAAUCUUUUGGUUUUUAUCCUGCCUCUUGCUAUUUCCAGUGCGACACCUGUGGAUGGGCUUAUGAGACCCCAAAACCGGUUGUGAUGAUAAAAGAAAUUUACAACUGAAGCGGUACUUUCAACCUUGGGAUCUAGUUUUUGGUGGAAUUGCUGUGAUGUAGUCAGUGACAUGAAACUACAAUGGCGCGAUAAUCCGCUUGCUGAGUUUAACUGCUCCCAUGAGGCCUGUCAAAUGCUAUAACAUCGGUCAUGGACCAUAAAUGGUCUAUGACGUCGGUAACCUCUGAGCAUGAAGUGAACUCUUAUGUGUCACAACUCGAACUGCACAAGUUUGCUGUACAAUACCAGUGCUGCAGAGGUCCUGCUGCACAAUGCCCUUGAACUGUGAACCAGCUUCUCCCCUGUGGACUUUGAUCUGCAGUGUCAUUGAUGUUGAAAGAGACUUUUUUUCUCCAUAGUGGAAUAACACACCCAGAGAAGUUGAACUCAAUGGAUUUCCUAUAACAUACAAUCCAAACUUUUUGUAAUUAAUUGACUACUUAGGCUUAAAAUCGUGGCUAAAUGUUUGUACGAGUG